CGGGCGUCCACCUGCCGCCAGGUGGCGCUGUCCGGCCCCCGCCGGGACCCCGCCGAGCGGCAGGAAGCCCUUGGAACAGGAUGUAAAAGCAGCACUUUCCAUCCAGCCUGACAUCCUGCUUCCAGAUGCAGAAGGCUGAGCAGGCCACCAGGAUCACAUUUAAAUGGCUGUGGCCAUGAUGUUCCAAUUUGAAACCUGGACUCCACCAACUUCCAUACUCAUCCCUUGCUCUCAGCCCUCUCCCUCCCCUGUCCAGGUCCUCAGGAUGAUCUGAGAAAUAUGUUACACUUUUCUUCCUCGCUAGAUGUCAACACGUUGGAAGGCAGGGACCUUGCCAUAUUAAUCCUUAGGGCCUUGGGUUCUGCUGUAGUAAAGACUCAAAAAAUGUUGGGUAAAAUUAAUUUUAAAAACAACUGGUGGCCGGGUGCGGUGGCUCACGCCUAUGAUCCCAGCACUUUGGGAGGCCAAGGCGGGUGGAUCACCUGAGGUCAGGAGUUCGAGACCAGCCUGGGCAACAUGGUGAAACCCUGUCUUUACUAAAAAUACAAAAAUUAGCCUGGCGUGGUGGCAGCGCCUGUAGUCCCAGCUACUUGGGAGGCUAAGACAGGAGAAUUGCUUGAACUUGGGA
rnacentral:lncRNA from 10 species